UACGUAGGCAGCAAGCGUUGUUCGGAGUUACUGGGCGUAAAGGGUGCGUAGGCGGCGCGGUAAGUCGGGUGUGAAAUUUCGAGGCUUAACUUCGAAACUGCAUUCGAUACUGCCGUGCUUGAGGACUGGAGAGGAGACUGGAAUUUACGGUGUAGCGGUGAAAUGCGUAGAUAUCGUAAGGAAGACCAGUGGCGAAGGCGGGUCUCUGGACAGUUCCUGACGCUGGAGGCACGAAGGCCCAGGGGGAGCAAACGGG
rnacentral:rRNA from 1 species